ACUCUCCGCGUACGGCGCAGUCUCCCGUCACAGUUAUCGACCGGCGUCUACAUCAGUAGCUCGUGCGCGCGCAGGGUCCGCCCCAAGUCUAGAACCUAGACCUGAUCUAGGCUUCGACGUGAUGCCAGCCGAUUGCGAAGCCUGCAAGAGCACUUGCGGCGGCGGCGUGGCCGCUUGCGGCAGCGCCUGCACAUGCGGCCCUAGCUGCGCUUGCGGCGAUGGCAAGCCCGCUGGGGACAAGCCCUGCUGCAAGGGCAAAAAGUAAAAUGCUUACUUAAAAAGACAAAAGCUGUUCCGCAAUGGAUAUAUUAAUCAAAUCUUCAUAAUAGUCUACUUAGAAUUAGUUUUGCGAUAUGCAGCAUUAUAUGGCUUAGAGAUUUAUAGUAUUAUAUAGACUAAGCUUUCUCUUCUAAUGUUGUGUCGUCAUGAAAUAAAAAUAGGUUAUCGUAUAAUGAAGUUAAUGUUCUAACUCGUAAGGUAUGAUAUCGCUUACUGUGUUUUAAUUAUAAUGUAGUUUUAUCACAUUCAGUGUAUUUUAAUAUAUUAAUAUGGGUCCGUUGUACUGGAAUACUCAAUAAUUUAAGUUAUUUAUCGGCGCACGCGCACAUGCAUGUGUAAUUUCGUGUAGUGUAUGUUUAAGCAAUAAAUUAAGGAACAAA